ACAUGUCCAGCGGAGCAUUCCAGGCGGCGAUGAAGGGCUUUCUGCUGAUCAAGGGCAGCUUGGCAGGUUUCUGACCAAAGACGGUGUGGAAGAGCAGGAGCAGCCAUGAGCAGGGUCAGAGGUCACUGAGAGGAAGUCACUUGACACCCAGGAAUUGGAACGAUCAUUUCAGCUGUACAGGCUGUCCACAGCUAGCCUUCCUCUGACCAGAGCUGAAGCCUCAGGCCACAAUGACAGGCUUCCCUGCCAAAUGUCUCAGUGAGGUUCAGUGUUUGCUGCGUCUCUGCAUGGCAUACUCAGCUGGUUGAACCAGACAUCCAAUCAGUGGGUAGACACAGGCGGACAAAUCUUUUCAGUCUGUGUUUUUUUCUUCAUCAAGUAUUUUCUGCAUUUGGAUUUUCUGCCUGCUGCCGACCAACCAAACCAACAGUUGCAUGGAACUUUAGGCUGAGUCCUGAUCAAGACUCCCAGCUCAGCGUUUGAUCUUUAACCCCAGACACUGUGAGAAGGGCAGACAACAACAGGAUCCUGUAAACAGGUGCCUUCACAGCUUGAAACAAUGAAGAGUGAAGCUGCUUCUAAAGUCAUCUGAUGUGGCAUGGGCCCCUGAUCCCGUUGGACGACUCGGAUGAAAACAGAGACCUCUGGGAUACCUUCUUAUGAUGCUGUCAUCACAUGGAUGCACAUGGAUAGUGUACAAAUGUUAUGGUGAGUACAAUGGUUUGAGGAAUUUCUGUGAAUGUGUUUUCCUGUGAAACUGCUCCAAGGUCAUGAAUCUAUCAUGCAUUGGUCUAUGUGUAGCUACUCUAUGGACCCUGGGUGAAUUCUGUACACCGUGCCUUUUCCUAGAAAUGUUGUCUCACAGCAAGGUCACCUUUUCGAAUCCCGGUUUGAACGAGGGUCUUUCUGUGUGGAGUUUGCAUGUUCUCUCCGUGUGCAUGUGGGUUUUCUCUGGGUACUCAAACUCCAGGUUAAUUGGAACACUCUAAAUUGAUUAUAGGUGUGAGUGUGAGAGUGAAUGGUUGUUGGUCCUGUGAUAGACUGGCAAUCUGUCCAGGGUGUGCCCAGCUGUGAUUGGUCCGUCCACAUGGUAGCAUCAUGUCUCCACCUACAGGCAAAUCUGCCCGCUUCUUCUUUGUCACCACCAUUUUUGAAUGGUAUUUAGCAAACAUUGAUGUAAUUAAAGGUUGAUUGAAGUCCAUGGCCAUUUUCUUGGCCAGGACAUUUACAUGACUUUUCUCCUUCCCAUAAUAAACACAAAAAACUGUUGUAGAAAGAGGUUAAUGCCAACUCUUGGGUGUUUGAAGUAAGCGGGGCCACCAGGUGGACAAAAAGCACCAAGACAAUGGAAUUUAACAUGGUGGGACAAAAAUCUAUUUUUUCUACAGACCAUUCUGUUGUUUAGUUACUUUUUGGUCCUAAUAUG